rnacentral:rRNA from 1 species
GAUGAACGCUGGCGGCGUGCCUAAUACAUGCAAGUCGAGCGAACGGACGAGAAGCUUGCUUCUCUGAUGUUAGCGGCGGACGGGUGAGUAACACGUGGAUAACCUACCUAUAAGACUGGGAUAACUUCGGGAAACCGGAGCUAAUACCGGAUAAUAUUUAGAACCGCAUGGUUCAAAAGUGAAAGACGGUCUUGCUGUCACUUAUAGAUGGAUCCGCGCUGCAUUAGCUAGUUGGUAAGGUAACGGCUUACCAAGGCAACGGUGCAUAGCCGACCUGAGAGGGUGAGCGGCCACAGUGGAACUGAGACACGGUCCAGACUCCUACGGGAGGCAGCAGUAGGGAAUCUUCCGCAAUGGGCGAGAGCCUGACGGAGCAACGCCGCGUGAGUGAUGAAGGUCUUCGGAUCGUAAAACUCUGUUAUUAGGGAAGAACAUAUGUGUAAGUAACUGUGCACAUCUUGACGGUACCUAAUCAGAAAGCCACGGCUAACUACGUG